AAAAGAUUCGAGAAGCACAAAAGGCAAUUGAUCUUCCAAAUGUUGUAUGUGUUGAUGCCAUGGGAUUGCAGCUAAAGGAAGAUAAUCUUCAUUUAACUACAGAGGCUCAAGUUAAAUUAGGCCAAAUGUUGGCUGAUGCAUACCUUACCCAUUUUGCACCACAAGAACCUUGUGUUGCUACAUCUUGAGAAAUUUGAUGUAUUAUGUGUGUGUAAACUAAAAAUUAUUUAAUCCUGGCUCAUGAACAUAACGUGAGUGGCUGAGUGUUCAUAUAAGUAUGUUAUUACUUUGAAGUAAGUUUACUCAUUUUCUG
rnacentral:misc_RNA from 1 species